UACGAGGGGGGCAAGCGUUGUUCGGAAUUACUGGGCGUAAAGGGCUCGUAGGCGGCCAACUAAGUCAGACGUGAAAUCCCUCGGCUUAACCGGGGAACUGCAUCUGAUACUGGAUGGCUCGAGUUUGGGAGAGGGAUGCGGAAUUCCAGGUGUAGCGGUGAAAUGCGUAGAUAUCUGGAGGAACACCGGUGGCGAAGGCGGCAUCCUGGACCAACACUGACGCUGAUGAGCGAAAGCCAGGGGAUCAAACGGG
rnacentral:rRNA from 1 species